CCUACGGGAUGCAGCAGUGGGGAAUAUUGCGCAAUGGGCGAAAGCCUGACGCAGCGACGCCGCGUGAGGGAUGAAGGUCUUCGGAUCGUAAACCUCUGUCAGCAGGGAAGAACGGUCACUGUGCUAAUCAGCAGUGAAUUGACGGUACCUGCAAAGGAAGCACCGUCUAACUCCGUGACAGCAGCCGCGGUCAUACGGAGGGGGCGAGAGUUAAUCGGAAUUACUGGGCCUAAAGCGAUCGUAGGCGGUAUGUCAAGUCAAGGGUGAAAUCCCCGCGCUCAGCGUGGGAACUGCCUUUGAUACUGGCAAACUGGAGUGUGUGAGAGGAUAGUGGAAUUCCAGGUGUAGGAGUGAACUCCGUAGAUAUCUGGAGGAACAUCAGUGGCGAAGGCGACUAUCUGGCACAUAACUGACGCUGAGGAGCGAAAGCGUGGGUAGCAAACAGGAUUAGAUACCCGGGUAGUC
rnacentral:rRNA from 1 species